rnacentral:rRNA from 1 species
AUUGAACGCUGGCGGCAUGCUUUACACAUGCAAGUCGAACGGCAGCGCGGGCUUCGGCCUGGCGGCGAGUGGCGAACGGGUGAGUAAUGCAUCGGAACGUGCCCAGUAGUGGGGGAUAGCCCGGCGAAAGCCGGAUUAAUACCGCAUACGACCUGAGGGUGAAAGCGGGGGACCGAAAGGCCUCGCGCUAUUGGAGGGGCCGAUGUCGGAUUAGCUAGUUGGUGGGGUAAAGGCUUACCAAGGCGACGAUCCGUAGCUGGUCUGAGAGGACGACCAGCCACACUGGAACUGAGACACGGCCCAGACUCCUACGGGAGGCAGCAGUGGGGAAUUUCGGACAAUGGGGGCAACCCUGAUCCAGCCAUGCCGCGUGCGGGAAGAAGGCCUUCGGGUUGUAAACCGCUUUUGUUCGGGAAGAAAUCCUCUGGGCUAAUACCCCGGGGGGAUGACGGUACCGGAAGAAUAAGCACCGGCUAACUACGUG